UACGUAGGGACCAAGCGUUGUUCGGAUUUACUGGGCGUAAAGGGCGCGUAGGCGGCUUAACAAGUCACUUGUGAAAUCUCCGGGCUUAACUCGGAACGGCCAAGUGAAACUGUCAAGCUAGAGUGCAGAAGGGGCAAUCGGAAUUCUUGGUGUAGCGGUGAAAUGCGUAGAUAUCAAGAGGAGCACCUGAGGUGAAGACGGGUUGCUGGGCUGACACUGACGCUGAGGCGCGAAAGCCAGGGGAGCAAACGGG
rnacentral:rRNA from 1 species